rnacentral:tRNA from 1 species
GCGGCCGUAGUCUAGUCUGGUAGGACGUGGGGGCCCCGGCCCCAAGGUCCCGGGUUCAAAUCCCGGCGGCCGCA